rnacentral:rRNA from 1 species
GGGGGGCUGCUCCUAGUACGAGAGGACCGGAGUGGACGCAUCACUGGUGUUCGGGUUGUCAUGCCAAUGGCACUGCCCGGUAGCUAAAUGCGGAAGAGAUAAGUGCUGAAAGCAUCUAAGCACGAAACUUGCCCCGAGAUGAGUUCUCCCUGAGACUUUAAGUCUCCUGAAGGAACGUUAAAGACGAUGACGUUGAUAGGCCGGGUGUGUAAGCGCAGCGAUGCGUUGAGCUAACCGGUACUAAUGAACCGUGAGGCUUAACCUUAC